CUUCCUUAGUUGUAAAAUGAGGAUAAUAGUGGAACCUUGCUCACAAGGUUGUUGGGGGGGGAGCAAUUAAUAUAUAAAGCAUUUUGCAGGUCUUAAAGCACCAUGUAAAUUGUUGUUAUUAGAGAUUAAUAGAGGCAACGACAAAUGAAAGUAAAAAAACAAGGAAGAGUAAAAAGAAAGGAUAUGUAAGAGACUGAGGAAAGGACAGGUAGAUAUGGGGGGCACUGUGUGGAUUCAUUUUAUUUAAUUCAUUAGAUUUAUUUGAUGAAAAAUUUCUUAAAAUUUUGGUCAGAGUUGGGGGUCAGUGGGAUUAGCAAUAGUAAUGCCAAAAUAAAAGGAGCAUUGAAACAUUUUUAAAUGAACAGAAAAGAAGGAAGUUAAAAAGUAAUCAGACAAGUAGUACAGUUUUGAAAGUAACAUGGAAUUUAUUAUAUUUUUUAAAUCAAGCAGUAUGAAAUUGGGGUUCAUGAUUUCAUAUAGAAUCCAUCCUUAUUUUGGGUGUUUUAAGUUCAGAAUAAAAACAAUUCUGAAAAACGGAGAAGGGGAGUAAGAACCUCUCUGUCUCUCCCAGGGCCAGUCCAGCAGGACCAUAGCUAAGAAGUGAACACCUGGACUGGAGGCAGAGGGUGGGAUUGGGGGUGGAAGGAAAAGAUUCUUUCUUUUUCUGUUUUCCAGACUAAGGUCAGGGAGACCACAGCAAGAAGAUGAAGAGCUGAGGGAAAGAAAACUGGUCUCCCUGGGCCCAGCCAACAGAAUGAGAGAGAAAGUGAUGAUUCUCUCUCCCUCUCCUUCUGCUUCUCCCUGCCUCUCUCUGCAAAGCCAGCAGAACCACAGAAAAGAGAUGAACAGUUGGGGUGAAGGUGAAGGGUGACAGGAAAGACUUGCUUUCUCCUUUCCAGUCAGGCCAGCAGGACCAUGGCAACAAGAUGACCAGAAGGGAAAAGGAGACACUCUCUCUCCCUGUCUUCCUCUUCCCCUGGACCCAGCAAACAAGACUACACCAGCAGGCCCAAGAGGAGACAAGAAGACAAGGAGGAAGACUGUCUCUGUCUCUCUUACUAGAUACAACCGUGGGGAGGUAAGAGGGAGCACUUCUCUCUCCCCCUCCCUAGAACCCUGGAAUCCAGAAGACAGCCAGAGGAGAGGUAGCAGUGAGACUCUUUCUUCCUGCACCUUGCCACAAGAUCCAAGGGAUUGUCUUACUCACCCUCUCUCUCCCAUUGCUGUCCUACCCAUGCCCCCCAGAUGGGCUCUUCCUAAGCUGAACU
rnacentral:lncRNA from 1 species